GAUUUUUGAAAAACAUUAUAUUUUGUUUAAUUUUCCAGUAUCAUAUUUUAAUAAUGCUAACAUGUAUUACAAUAAGAUGGGCCUUCAUUGCAUAACACUUAAAUAGCUAGGAUAAAGACAUUUAUAUGAAAAUUAUUUAAGAAAUAUCGUAUGAAAAAAUAAAAUUUAUAUUCUUGAACGAAUAAAUAUUUUUGGCCCUUAAAAUGUUGUAAAAG
rnacentral:lncRNA from 1 species